rnacentral:rRNA from 1 species
UACGGAGGGUGCGAGCGUUAAUCGGAAUUACUGGGCGUAAAGGGUGCGUAGGUGGUUUAAUAAGUUGUCUGUGAAAUUCCUGGGCUCAACCUGGGGUGGUCAGAUAAGACUGUUAGACUCGAGUAUGGGAGAGGGUAGUGGAAUUUCCGGUGUAGCGGUGAAAUGCGUAGAGAUCGGAAGGAACACCGGUGGCGAAGGCGGCUACCUGGCCUGAUACUGACACUGAGGCACGAAAGCGUGGGGAGCAAACAGG